rnacentral:lncRNA from 1 species
UCUUCUACUGUAUGUACCAUUUUACAAGUUCCUUUUUUAUUUCGAAUUGAAAGUAAACCUAUAGGAACCACAAUCAUUUAUUUAAACGAUGAUCGAGUAGUUAACUCCUGCAACUGCUUCCAACAUCCUGUCUUGCUGCCAGGGAUCCGGAAAUGGCAAAAUUUGUUGUAAUGACCCUAUGCUCUUUAGUCUAUUUGUAAUGUUGAUAGUAAAAUGCAUCACAGAAAGACAACGGAUUGCAGUUCUCUUGUUGAUAAUUUGUAGCACUGAAAUCUAUGAUUUCUCGUUGCAUAUCGGUUGAAAACACCAUAUUGUUUUGUCUGAUGAGUUGUUAUGUUCAACGUUUUAA